rnacentral:rRNA from 1 species
UCCUACGGGAGGCAGCAGUGGGGAAUAUUGCACAAUGGGCGCAAGCCUGAUGCAGCCAUGCCGCGUGUAUGAAGAAGGCCUUCGGGUUGUAAAGUACUUUCAGCGGGGAGGAAGGCGGUGAGGUUAAUAACCUGCCGAUGACGUACCCGCAGAGAGCCCCGAUCUCCC